GCUCAUUGGACUUUUGUGGAUCUGUCUUCUCAAGGAAUGAAUGAACUUUUGUAUUGGAUUCCCUAGAGGAAAAUUGUUUCAUGGUGCAAUUCAAAUAAUGAGGUUCCACGAAGGAGCUUGUGAAGCAAUUAAAAAGCAUUGUGGUAGUGGCAGAAUUCUCAACAGUGAAACUAGAGUGUGCCUGGUGUGCAGGGAAAGCCCAGUCUUGCAAUCCAUGGGGUUUUGGGAUGGCUACACUUCUUAAGUUUAUGUUCUGAGCAAACCAGAAACGUGAUGCCAUGUUGUGAUCCAUUUGGCUACUGCAAAACUGACAUGUACCCAAGGACUGGAUUUCAUCAAAGUUGUUCAAUAGAAAAUUCAAGUCAAAAUGUGAAAUCAUUCAGUCCCUUACCUACCCAGUAAAUUAUCAAAAAAAGCAUACAACUGAACUUUUAUAAAUUCUUUUUUUUUUUUUUUAAUUCAUGAAGGUACAUUACUUUAUGCCAUAUGUUAUAACAGCAUAGUCUUGCUUUACCUAAGACUACGAGUGCCUGCAUGGAGAACACCAUAGAGCUCCAGUUCCUGGGGCAGAAGCGAGUUGGAAGGAAAAUCAGCAACAAAGGAUGUAACAACAGCUUGUGCAUUGAGGAGAUGGUCUUGUGGAACACUCGUGCAGCUGUGCCCCAUUUCUCGCACAGCUGCCGUCACGUGCUGCAUCCACCACAUUUUCAAAUGGCAGGAGUUGCUCUUGGACACUGGAUGACGAGAACACGAAUCCAGCUCUGUGCUAGCCCUUUGGCAGUGCUGCAGCACGGCGAGCUCUGUUCUGUGGGGAAGGUAGCUUUUGAAGUAACCUCCUCGCUUUGGCGGCUCUUGAAGGGGCGUCUGAGGGAGGUGCCUGCUUGUUCUGGUGGGAGGUUUGUUCCAGCAGAGGCGAGCGUCCCUGGAGAUGUCGUCAGCAGAGACUGCCAGCCACCCCCCGAGGCAAAGGCAGCUGCAGCUGUGGUGGUGACUGAGAAAACCCUUCAGACUCACUGA
rnacentral:lncRNA from 1 species